rnacentral:rRNA from 1 species
UACGUAGGGAGCAAGCGUUGUCCGGAAUCAUUGGGCGUAAAGCGCGCGUAGGCGGCCUCGUAAGUCCGUUGUGAAAGUCAAAGGCUCAACCUUUGAAAGCCGAUGGAUACUGUGAGGCUAGAGUCCGGAAGAGGCGAGUGGAAUUCCUGGUGUAGCGGUGGAAUGCGCAGAUAUCAGGAGGAACACCAAUAGCGAAGGCAGCUCGCUGGGACGGUACUGACGCUGAGACGCGAAAGCGUGGGGAGCGAACAGG